CUUGACCGAGCCGAGCCACAACGGCUGCUGCGGAUCGCGGCCCUGCCCGUACGUGGCGAGCAACGCCUGUGCCUC
rfam:Micromonospora nigra strain DSM 43818 genome assembly, contig: Ga0070616_13